AAUCAACGCUGGCGGCGUGCCUAACACAUGCAAGUCGAACGCGAAAGCGGCUUCGGCCGUGAGUAGAGUGGCGAACGGGUGAGUAACGCGUGGGUGACCUGCCUUCGAGUGGGGGAUAACGUUUCGAAAGGAACGCUAAUACCGCAUGAUAUUUUGCUCUUGGAGGGGCAAGAAUCAAAGCUGGGGAUCGCAAGACCUAGCGCUCGAAGAGGGGCCCGCGUCCGAUUAGCUUGUUGGUGAGGUAAUGGCUCACCAAGGCGACUAUCGGUAGCCGGCCUGAGAGGGCGGACGGCCACACUGGGACUGAGACACGGCCCAGACUCCUACGGGAGGCAGCAGUGGGGAAUUGUUCGCAAUGGGCGCAAGCCUGACGACGCAACGCCGCGUGGAGGACGAAGACCCUUGGGUUGUAAACUCCUGUCGAGUGGGACGAACACUGUCCGGGUUAAUACCUCGGACGGCUGACGGUACCACUAAAGGAAGCCCCGGCUAACUCCGUGCCAGCAGCCGCGGUAAUACGGGGGGGGCAAGCGUUGUUCGGAUUUACUGGGCGUAAAGGGCUCGUAGGCGGUUAGCUCAGUCAGACGUGAAAUCCCUCGGCUCAACCGGGGAACUGCGUCUGAUACUGGUUGACUUGAAUCCGGGAGAGGGAUGUGGAAUUCCAGGUGUAGCGGUGAAAUGCGUAGAUAUCUGGAGGAACACCGGUGGCGAAGGCGGCAUCCUGGACCGGUAUUGACGCUGAGGAGCGAAAGCUAGGGGAGCGAACGGGAUUAGAUACCCCGGUAGUCCUAGCCCUAAACGAUGAAUGCUUGGUGUGGCGGG
rnacentral:rRNA from 1 species